UAGAAAUGAACGUUCCUAAGCUUCAUGUCUGCAUCAUAACAGAAUCUCCAGGACGUUUGAAGGUGUCAUGAGGUUACCUAGUCCAACUUCAAAGGAGCCCAAAUCAUCCGUUUUGACAGAACCAGAGGACACAGCUAAAAAGCAUGUGGAUUCCUGACCCAGUAAUCUGCAAAAUAACUGAGGAAACGAUCAAUUGUGUCAAACCCUGCUGAGAGAUUGAUUAUGAUGAAGACAAGACAUAAAGAUUAUUGCUGACCCAGAGGCUUCCAUGGAGUUUUAGGGAGGAAAUCAAAACCCGAAGGAUGUGAAAAAUAAAUGACUUGUUAUAAAGUGGGGCAAUAAGGGUAAAAAUCUCAUUCAGGGAGUUUGCAAAGGCUGCAAAAUAAAUGCAUCAGCAAUCAGAGAUGAGUGAAAGUAAAGGAAACUUGGAAGAUGGGAGAUAUUGAAGCAUAGUAUGGGAAUAUAGUAUGAAAAUAUGAAGCAAUUACUCCGCUAUCUUCAAAUUUUUUUAUGAAGAUUCCACAUGAGACCAUGUGAAUUCAGCUGUAGCUGAUUGAAAAAGAAAUGAACAGGGGCGCCUGGGUGGCACAGCGGUUAAGCUUCUGCCUUUGGCUCAGGGCAUGAUCCCGGCGUUAUGGGAUCGAGCCCCACAUCAGGCUCUUCAGCUAUGAGCCUGC